AGGGGUAUAGUUCAAUGGUAGAAUAGCGAACUUCAAAUUCGCCAAUACAUGUUCGAUUCGUGUUGCCCUUG
rnacentral:tRNA from 1 species